rnacentral:tRNA from 1 species
AAAGCUUUAUUAUAAAUUUUAGUAUAUUUUAUUGUCAUUAAAAAGGUUAAAGUUUUA